rnacentral:rRNA from 1 species
UAUAUAUAGGUGUGCUGCGUAAAGAUUAAGUUAGGAGAGUGAAUUGUUUAUUUUAUUAGGGGGAUGAGAGUUAUAGUGAGUGUUUGAAAAAUCAUUAGGUUUUGUUGUUAGAGUAUUUUGUAUAAAAAUUAUAUAUGGUUAAACUAAAGUGGAUAAGUACUGUGAAGGAAGUUUGAUAAGUUUUAAAAAAGAAGAUUUUAAAUUUUGUACCUUUUGUAUCAGGGGCUUUUUAUUUGCUUUAAAGAGUUUUAUGGUUCUCGAAAUAGGGUGAUUUAAUUUGAUGAGAGUAUUUAUGUGGAAAAAUGAAACUUAACAAAUAAUUAGUGAUGAUAUGUCAGUCGUACUUUAUAUAUCUGGUUGUCUUUGAAAUAAAUUUAAUUUAGUUUCUGCAAAGUUUAAGUGUUACAGAGUUAAAGAUUUGAGGGGAAGAGCUCUCAAAUAUUAAAAGGGUAGUAAAAAUAUUAUAUAAUAAAAUUCUAAAUUAGGCUUAGAACCAGCUAUAUUGACAUGCCGUUUUAGGAGAUGGUGGGGAGAAAAGUGUUUUAUAGUUAAUUUACUAGAAUUAGAGGAUAAGUUUUGUAAAUUGUUUUUAUUUCGAAAUAUUGAUUGUAUAAGUAAAAGUUUUAUGUAAGUUGUAUUAAUAAAUUAAUUAAUAACUUUAAGUUUUAAUUUAGGUUUGAUGUAGUUAAGGAACUCGACAAUUAUUAUGCUCACCUGUUUAUCAAAAACAUGUCUAUUUGUAAAAAAUUUUUAGUCUGGCCUGCCCACUGAAAUUGAUUAAAGGGCCGCGGUAUUUGGACCGUGCUAAGGUAGCAUAAUCAGUAGUCUUUUAAUUAGAGACUAGAAUGAAUGGUCGGAUGAAGUAUAGUUUGUCUGCGACUACAGGUUUUGAAUUUUACCUUUAAGUGAAAAGGCUUAGAUUAGGUAGGGGGACGAUAAGACCCUAUGAAGUUUCAUACUAUCUGAAUUUAGUGUUUAAUAUUUAAGUGAUUAACUUUAAGUUUGAGAGGUAUUUUGUUGGGGCGACAGGAAUAUAUUUUUAACUGUUUUUUGGAGAAAAAUAAACGAUUUUUAGAAUACUGAUCUUGUAUUAUGGAUUAUAAGAUUAAAAUUACUCUAGGGAUAACAGCGUAAUUCUUUUUGAGAGUUCUUAUCGACAAAAGUAUUUGCGACCUCGAUGUUGAAUUAAGAUUUCACUAAGGUGUAGGAGCUUUAGUUGUAGGUCUGUUCGACCUUUAAAAUCUUACAUGAUUUGAGUUCAGACCGGCGUGAGCCAGGUUAGUUUCUAUCUUUUACUUGUUUGUUAAGCAUUCUAGUACGAAAGGAGUGAGUGGUUAAAAUAAUUUUUUAAAUUGGAUUGAGUUUAAUCACCUU